rnacentral:tRNA from 1 species
GCCAUUGGUACUGGCAGCAUCGCGCUCAAGCGCGAGAUAAUCUGGUGACUGGCCGA